rnacentral:rRNA from 1 species
CUUGAGCUUUAUAAGAGGUCCAGCCUGCCCAGUGACUCUGUUCAACGGCCGCGGUAUCCUAACCGUGCGAAGGUAGCGUAAUCACUUGUUCUUUAAAUGCGGACUAGUAUGAAUGGCACUACGAGGGUUAUACUGUCUCCUUUUUCUAAUCAGUGAAACUAAUUUUCCCGUGAAGAAGCGGGGAUAUAACUAUAAGACGAGAAGACCCUAUGGAGCUUUAAACAACCCAGCAAUUACUUCUAAAAUUAUAAAUUUCAGAAUAUCCACUUUUUAAGUUAUAUGUCUGCAAGUUUUUGGUUGGGGUGACCAUGGAGUAUAACAUAACCUCCAUAUUGAAUGAAUUCCCUUCUAAGCUAAAAAUUACCAAUUGAAGCAUCAACAUACUGACAUCUAUUGACCCAAUAUAUUUGAUCAACGAACCAAGUUACCCUAGGGAUAACAGCGCAAUCCACUUCAAGAGCCCCUAUCGACAAGUGGGUUUACGACCUCGAUGUUGGAUCAGGGUAUCCCAGUGGCGCAGCC